rnacentral:rRNA from 1 species
GACGUAGGGGGCAAGCGUUGUCCGGAAUCAUUGGGCGUAAAGCGCUCGUAGGUGGAUCGGUAAGUCUGCAAGGAAAGACCCGGGCUCAACUCGGGGAACCGUGUGGAUACUGUCGGGCUCGAGUCCGGAAGAGGCGAGUGGAAUUCCUGGUGUAGCGGUGAAAUGCGCAGAUAUCAGGAAGAACACCCGUGGCGAAGGCGGCUCUCUGGGACGGUACUGACGCUGAGACGCGAAAGCGUGGGGAGCGAACAGG